rnacentral:rRNA from 1 species
CAGCCGUAAACAAUGUGCGUUAGGUGUGUCGGUAACCACGCGUUACUGAUGCGCCGAAGAGAAAUCGUGAAACGCACCACCUGGGAAGUACGGUCGCAAGGCUGAAACUUAAAGGAAUUGGCGGGGGAGCACCACAACAGGUGGAGCCUGCGGUUUAAUUGGAUUCAACGCCGGACAUCUCACCGGAUAAGACAGCUGAAUGAUUGUCAAUCUGAAGGUUUUACAUGACUAGCUGAGAGGAGGUGCAUGGCGUCAGUG